rnacentral:rRNA from 1 species
CGUGGGUAACCUGCCCAAGAGACUGGGAUAACACCUGGAAACAGAUGCUAAUACCGGAUAACAACACUAGACGCAUGUCUAGNGUUUAAAAGAUGGUUCUGCUAUCACUCUUGGAUGGACCUGCGGUGCAUUAGCUAGUUGGUAAGGUAACGGCUUACCAAGGCAAUGAUGCAUAGCCGAGUUGAGAGACUGAUCGGCCACAUUGGGACUGAGACACGGCCCAAACUCCUACGGAAGGCAGCAG